UCAGGCAGUCUGGCUAAUUUUUGAAAAGUUUUAGUGGAAACUUUUUGUUAUAGAAGUUGGAGAAAGCAAAGAGAGUUGACAUUUUCCAGAUUUGAUCUUCAUAAUUUGGUAGAGCCUAAAGGAAAAAGUAACAGUUAAAAACAACUCGGGCACUUCAUGAGCAGUCAUGAAGCAGCAGAAUUCAUGACAAACAGGAAGAUCCGCAAUGUGCUUCAGCAGAGCAGAUUAUAGAAAUUCGGAGAACUAGUAAGUGAGAUCCUGUGGGAGACAAUUCUGAGAGAGAGUUAAGCACAGUAGGCAGUUCUUUAAAGAACUAUGGUAAAUGCAAGUUUAUGCAAAACUAUGCAAAAGAAACUAUGCAAAAUUGCAAGUUAUGACAGUGCGGAGGAAGGAUAGGAGCUGUAGAUCACUCACCAAGGAAAAGACUUUUAAGAAAGAUGAAUGGGUGAACAUUUGAGGCCAAAGAGAGAAAGUCAAAAGCAGAGAGUGAAACCAUGUGAUGCAUAAGUGGCAUUUCCUCUCAGCAUGUUAGUGCACUAACAAGUACAGGAGGCUAAGGAAAGGCUUGGUCCACUUCUCUGCAGAGUGAAAAUUAUUGGCAAACAAUGGCUGGAAAGCUGAAAAGGAGUGAGGAGCUUGUAGAAGAUCGUGAGAUGAACGGGAGUUGGUAAGGCCAUGCAGCUGCGAAAAAGCAUUUGCCGUCCUGCAUUGUGGUGAUAAUCCUGGAGGAAAAGAAAUCAGUUUCCAGCUCCCUGGGCUCCCUGCCUGCCCUGAAGGGGAAUCAGAAGAAUUCAGUAACUGUAUGAAAGUCUUUGAGGAAUUCUAUCAAUUUGUCACGACUGUGAAAAUCUACAUAUUGUUUCGGCAGGUGCUUGGAAGCAGCACACUCACCAAAACUCUCCUGACCUCCAAGAAUCUGCUGCCCACCAGGCUGGUCCCUCUGAGGUGGAGUCCUUGUAAUGAACCUGCCACCUAGGGCCAAUGUAAAGAUUUGUGCAACAGGCUUGAAUCUUCCUUCCACUUUUUUCCCCAGCAUGUUUCUGUGCAUAUCUCCAACUAGAAGGAUAAUUAAUAAUUGGAUAUGGUAUAUGGGACUGAACUAACUUGCUUAAGGAAAAAAACUACACUGAGAUAUUUUUUCAUUUUUGCCAAUAGCCAAAACCAAUAAACAGUAAUAUGUUGUUAUUCCAGUGAUGACGAAAGUUAUAAUAACAAUUUCAUUUGUCAAGGGAGGUCUGACUAUUUUUGUCCUUUAGAUAAAGAUGAAUAAGAACUUGAGUUACACGUUUUAUUAAAUAGAGAAACGUAAUUGUUUUGUUCCCUGGUUUAGGAGGACAGAUGGAGUGCAAAACAGCACAGGUGAAGGAGGCUUGAACACAAAUUUGUAACAAUAACUUAAAAGUCAGAUGCCGACCUGUAAGUAAGAGCCAUGUGAUAUAAAUAAAUCAUAGCUGCGUGGCACAUUUGAGCUAGAUAUUGGAUAUAAAAUAGCAAUUAAAUGGCUGGAAAGCAGCUGCUUGCCUGUCUGUAAGACAUCUGGCUUUUUUCCUCAGCUCAGGAAGAACUUGCUGCUGCAGCCAACUGUUGUGUUUCAGGGACCUGUUUUAUUUUCCAGCACAAAAUGGCUUGCUGGUUACAAGGGCCAAGAAUCUGACGGUGGGGACUGUCUCCAUGAGUAUGUUCAGCUUGUGACAGGUUUUGUAACACAGGCAAAGUAGGCGUCCAGUCUCCCAUAAUAGUCAAUGACAUCCAACCUACAAAACCAACGCGUCUGGUAAGUGACUCGGCUCAUCCUGAGGUAGAGACUCACUCCCUGGGCUCUCUCUACUGACUUGGAAGAGAGGUCAGACACCCGUCUCUGAAACAAUAACACCUGUAAGUAGAUGACUAGGGCUGGUUGUCUUCAGUUGCAAAUUGAACACCUCCCUGAAUCUCCUGUUAUCACUGCCCUGAAAGGGACCUGCUUUUGUAGGAGUUAAUGGAGCUGUACAGGAGUGCUUGGGGUACUAUUGUGCAAAGUAGGGGACACUGUGGGAUUUCUAAAUCCUUCUUCCCACUCCUGGGCACUUAUUUAUGAAGCAAAGGAGAUGAAAAUGCUUUUUCCUUUCUCUUUCCCAUGAUCCUGUUACAACACAUAACACUUUCUACCAUUCUCUUUAAGUCAUUAUCAUUUUGAAGCUACUAGCACAUACAGAGUUGUUUUUCCUUGUCUGCUUACGGACCUCUGUGUUGCAAGUAGCAGUUUAAAGGAUGACUGAAAACACAGUGGUAUUGUAGCCUGAACUCCAAUCAGACCCCUUUCCAGCAAGCAUCCAAGCCUGGACUCCCAUCCCUCUACAUUCCUGGAGGUCCUCACUGCUUCUGCCAUCAGGUUUGUGCUAUCUAUCCCCCUUUAACUUCAUCCUUCCUCUUACACACUUCCACACUUCCCUUCAUGAGUACCACAACCCAUCUUCGAAUCCCCUACCCCUUAAAACCCUUCCCUUGUAGCCAGCAUUUGCUGACACAAUUUUUCUUUUUCUUGAAAAUAGUGUGAUCCCCUUGUGAACUUCUUCCUGCAAAGAACAUUUCUGCAGAAUAAUAUUUGUUGAAAGCUUCAACCAGCUGACAGAUUGCAGCAAGCAGCUUCUUUCUCUGGAGAUUUUUGCCGACAGUCAUGCUCAAGCGCCUGGGGCUGGGCAAGGCUGGCUCAAUGACUGCUGUACAUACCCAAGAACUGCCUAAUUCAUGUAAAUCAGGCAGGGCAAAAUGCUUUGUGGUAAGGAAGGGUAUGUCUACAGAGGCAGAUGCCUACAGGUGCAGUACAUCUCUCAUCUGGAAGCUUUGUACUCUGUGUGAUCUAUUCUGCUUCUUAGGAAGGCCUGACAUCAUAUAAGCUUGGCUAUCUGAUGUCUGCUAAAGGAAGGGGUUUCUGUCAAAAGAAAUCUACACAAUGAAUAGGAAACUACAUUCAUCUUAGUAUCGUUUUUGUUUCAGUCUUUCUGUAUUACCCAACUGUCCUGUUGUCCAUCUCCAGCUCUUGCUUUCCUUGCUGGACAUUCAAUAAUAUUUUCCAUUCUGAACUUUCUCUGCUAUUGGAUGCUUUUUUGUCAAAAGCAUAAGCAGGUCUAGCAGCCACUCUUCUGAGAAGUAGGCUAGCACUCAAUUAAGGUACUUUAAACUUCGGUGCACCAGACUCUCUAAUGCCAUCUGCAAUUUGAAUAGAGAAGAAGUGGUUAAGACAAGAUAUUAAGCUGCUGGGACCCGGUAUCAGAUCUGUUCAAAGGUGAUGGAGAAAAAGUGAAGAGUCAGAAGACCCAGAAUUGCAGUCCUUACCUAUCCCCCAGCCUGCUAAUCACUCCCUAUUUCUUUUUUCACAGCUCUUUUCUUCACUAAUGGUUGGCACAAUCAGACCAUAGGUCACCAACUUAGUGCGAAGAAAAUGUCAGCAUAACCCAAGCAGAGCGUUUAAUAGCUAAAUGGCUUUUCGUGAGUAACAACUCACACUUGUAAAUUAAUCAUGCUGCAACAGUCUCACUCUAGGCUAACUCAACAUACCAAUUUAACUCAUUUUCUGUGUUCUGAAUGUGGAAACAUUAAAUCUAGGUCAAUAUUUUCAGUAAAUUCAAUAAAUUAUUCACUGAGUCAAUUAUUUUCUUGAGAUCUUUUGUACCACAAAUUUUCUACCUCAUGCCAUGGAACCGUUUUAGCAUUCAGGGAAAGAAAACAUUCUUAUCUGCAAAGGAACUGUGCAGACAUGCAUCUUAAUUCUGAAUUUAACAUCACUAGAUAUUGCAUAGCAGGAGGUAAGCAAAUUUCACCCCACCACACAUUUGAUUAUCUUCAGACUGAGACAUACUUGUGUCUAUAUCAGCUUAUUCACAAAGUCAAGAAGGUGAAAAUCCUUCAUUAAUGCAAUAAAAUUUGUAUAUUCCUAGAAGCAAGUCAUUAAGCAAUUUGUCUAUCAUUGGCUGGAAACCGUAAUACAGUUUCAGAUCACUUGCCUGAUCUUGUAAAUCAAAAUGUGAUCAUUACGAUUUAGCAAAUUGUAUUUUUUUAACUUAUUUCCAUUUCGAUAUUUGCAGCUUACAUGUAGGAUCAUCAAAAUCACACCAAAGUAAAAAUUAGAAGUGAAAACUAGAAGUAAAAAAUGGAUAAUAGUCUCCUGUCUUUGUUAGAUUUAUAGGCUUUUGACAGAAGUGAACUGUAAGAAAAAGUUGAAUGAAAGAUAUGGACAUCAGAAAUGCAAAGUUGAAUAAGCAGUUCUAAAAAUAAGGGCUGGGCAGAUGAAAGAAAGAGAAGAAUACAAAAGGAUGCAAAGAGAUGGUUUGGAGGGCAAAGAGAGGGUUGGGAGGUCCACCAACAUGGGGAGGGGCAGAUUUAGACACGCUGUCAUAAAAAAUUCACAGAGCUCAACCGCAGUAGAUCAAAAGUUAAAAGGAAAUCUUCCAGUAAAAUCCUGUCAAAAUUUACAUGCUCAACAUGCUGUUCUUUACCAAGCCAACCCCAGCAGCUGUACUGGUAAUGAAUGGCUUGAACCGAGAUGCUGCCGUAGAAGUUUCUGUCGUAUUGACCAGCUGAUGCUCAUCGGUUGUGGCAGGUGUUGUUGAAGCUGGCAAAGGCAUCCCACUCUGUCUGUCAAAUUUACUUUCCCUUCUCCCUUAAGUGUUCCUUUUGCUUUUCAUCACUGUCACAGCCACCCUCCGCAAGAGGUCCUCUUCCUCAGUUGCACUCUCAGCGAAAAGUCGAGAGUGUCAGACAUACAGGACCACACAGUCAGAACCUCCACUCCCACUCACUUCCAAAAAUUGAACCUUUCUCCCUUUCUGCAGCCUUGACCUGCUAAUGGUGGUGGUAGGAGGAGUAAACUGUUAGUGCUGCUCCACUGAGUUGGGAUUUGAAAUGUUCAUCAGGCCAUUCAUUAAAGCUGUAAUUAUUAAUAGGUAUUUUUAAAAAAAGGCAUCAGUGUCAUGCAUUAUUUUUUUCACAGCCUGAGUUCUGAUGACUAAGGAACUAUCAGAAAGAAGAGAGAGACUGUUUUCACAGUGUCAUACUUGGAUGUGUUUAACGAGAACUUUUUAUCUUCGAGUUGAACAAACCAUUUUGGAGAGCCCUGCUUUUAAUGGGUUUUCCAGUUAUAUUGACUACUGUACAGAGAAGAGGU